rnacentral:rRNA from 1 species
UACGGAGGGUGCAAGCGUUGUCCGGAAUCACUGGGCGUAAAGGGCGCGUAGGCGGCUCAUGAAGGCUGUGGUGAAAGUCCAGGGCUCAACCUCGGAUCGGCCGUGGCGACUCGUGGGCUGGAGCACUGUAGAGGCGGGUGGAAUUCCGGGUGUAGCGGUGGAAUGCGUAGAGAUCCGGAAGAACACCAGUGGCGAAGGCGGCCCGCUGGGCAGUGGCUGACGCUGAGGCGCGACAGCGUGGGGAGCAAACAGG